ACCUGCAUUUUUGCUUUUCUGCUGAAUAAAGGCAUGCCAUCUACCACAAGGAGCAAGACUGCUUUUUAAGUUCCAUAUGAUUUAUGAACUGUCACUUCUACUGGAUUCAAAAAAGUUUUAAGAUGACUUGUACUAAUAGAAAUUCAAGAUCAGAUGUCUGCUAAUAUGACUUAACCGAAAUUAGGACAGCGAAAUAACUCUCGUCGACCGCAUUUUGGGAUUAUAUUUUCCAAUUAUGGAUGGAGAGCCCACAGAUACAGCUGACAAUCUGUAUCGAUUUAUAUCGUGCUAAAAAUGUCUGAUAACGAAUAAAGAUCUACAGAACUGAAUUAUUAAUAUAAAAUUCCUCUCAACUGUGCAAAUUCUAUACCCGUGUGUUCCUGACAUAAAUUCUACGGAGAGUAGCAAUCUGGAUUGUCAUAUAUAAUCUCUUGGAUACCAACUUGGGA